AGGACGAACGCUGGCGGCGUGCUUAACACAUGCAAGUGGAGCGACGAACCGGGGCUUGCCCCGGGGCAGAGCCGCGAACGGGUGAGUAACACGUGGGUCACCUGCCUCAAUGACCGGGACAACCCGAGGAAACUCGGGCUAAUACCGGAUGUGCCCGCAAGGGGAAAGGAAGCUUCGGCCUCCGCAUUGAGAUGGGCCCGCGGCCCAUUAGCUUGUUGGUGAGGUAACGGCUCACCAAGGCUUCGAUGGGUAGCUGGUCUGAGAGGACGAUCAGCCACACUGGGACUGAGACACGGCCCAGACUCCUACGGGAGGCAGCAGUGGGGAAUCUUGCGCAAUGCGCGAAAGCGUGACGCAGCAACGCCGCGUGGGGAAGAAGGCCUUCGGGUGUAAAGCACUGUCGAGGGAAGAAAGACCGUAAGGUUUGAUCGACCCUGGAGGAAGCGACGGGCUAAGUUCGUGCCAGCAGCCGC
rnacentral:rRNA from 1 species